UAAAUGAUAUAUAAACCAACUACUUUGGUUCAGUAGAUUACAACAAUAAUAAGAGGUCUUAGACUAUGUACAUGGGCGAUACUUUUAAAGUAUCAGAAGCCCAGAAAUUAAUUUUUAAUGGAGCAAACAAUUAAAAUGGGACUGAUACGUAUCAGUUUUUGAUACUCAGUAUCAAGUGACGUGUCAUCUUCUGAUUUGUUGCGUUUUGUCGAAAGGAGGAAAAAAAAAAUUUAUUUUGGAGGUCGAACUCUCCUCUCACGCGAUCGGCGGAGGCUAGGUUUCAGAUCAGAGCGUGUUCUGGAUUGAAAAAGAAGCUAUGUUGAUGAAUCAAGAGAAAAUCCAGAAGCUUCAAGGAGAGAAUCGGUAACGUGUUUAUUGUUGCUCGGUGAGAAUGGCGUCAUGAAUCUCGACACAACAGGUCUUGUUGUUCUUGUGUCUAAAACCACUUAUAGACAUUGCAGAACAUCAAGCUUGUGCUUAACGAUGAUGAACUGAACUUCAAGCUUCUCCAUCCUCCACGUUGAAGUUUUAAAGUUAAAUGAAGAAGCUUUAAAGUUAAAUGUCAAGAAAGUGAAUGAUAUCUUUUUCUUUUUACCCACUUUUACUUUAUAUUAUGUUAUCCGGCAAUUGAGAAUGGGCAUGAUGAUGAUGUUGAUGAUGAUGUGAGAUAUUGUUUGAAAUUGUAGGAGACUACUCUUGGAUGAAAAGAUGAGAGAAAGACAAGUUGUUGGUGCCGAGAAGUUGAUACAGCUCUUGCAUCCGUCAGAAGACAGAAUGGGCAACUCCAUUCAUUGCACUGGUUUGGAAUCUCAUCGAUAUACACCAAGCAUUUUAGCAGCUUCGACUAUUCUUAGUUAUGUCAAGCACUAAAAACUCUCGUGAGUCAUAUUCCUUGCUUGUAACACUUAAGUUUUUUUGGUCAUACAUUGUCAUCACUCAUAAGGACCCCCUUGUUUGAUACUAGAGUCACUCAGAUUAUUUUCUCAGCUCUAUUACUCUUGCUAUAGGUUGGAAUUUUUAUCAUAAGAGUACUAACAUAUGAUAAAUUACAGUAAAGGGGAUUAUGAUCCUUGUCGAUUAGAUUAUCUCAGCUUGUCGAUUACAUAUAACUCUGUUUCGGUUUGCUCUGUAACUUGAUUUAUGACUUAUAACUUUGUUUUAUUUUA